AUAUGGAGGGUGCAAGCGUUACUCGGAAUCACUGGGCGUAAAGCGCGCGCAGGCGGCUAUUUAAGUUGGAUGUGAAAGCCUACGGCUCAACCGUAGAACUGCAUCCAAAACUAUUUAGCUAGAGUGUGGGAGAGGAAGAUGGAAUUAGUUGUGUAGGGGUAAAAUCCGUAGAGAUAACUAGGAAUACCAAAAGCGAAGGCAAUCUUCUGGAACACUACUGACGCUGAGGCGCGAAAGCGUGGGGAGCAAACGGGAUUAGAAACCCUAGUAGUCC
rnacentral:rRNA from 1 species